UAACAUGUUUCUGGGCGGUAGACGUUUUGCAGGAGUUUGCUAAGUAAUCCUUUUUCCCUCAGGUGUGGCGUUUUCAAUUCUUCCUUAAUUUAUCGUAGAGUAAUCGGCCCUUUUGUGAAGCUUUUGCUGAAAAAAAAAAACCGUUUAUCACGGGACUAGGCUACGGUCGGCGCUUUCAGAUUUCAAUGGAUUGCUGUCACUUCUGCAAGGAUGUUUUUGGAAUUGAGUUUGACUUCUGAGAGUCUGUUCUAACAGUAAAGCUUCCCGUAUGAUAAAGCUGCUCUCUCUAGUAACAGAGCGAAAUCUCGAUUCGGUCAGAAAGAGCGAAGGCAAAUGAGCAAAAUUCCAAUGAAGGUCAAGUUGACUCCAAGAGUUCGUUCGAGGCAAAGGAGGAUCUCAGCCUCAUUGCAGUUCUCCAAAGGUCGUCCUUUAUCAGUGGCUUCCUCCUCCAU